UACAGAGACUGCAAGCGUUAAUCGGAAUUACUGGGCGUAAAGCGUGCGCAGCGGUCUGUUAAGACCGAUGUGAAAUCCCCGGGCUUAACCUGGGAACUGCAUUGGUGACUGGCAGGCUUUGAGUGUGGCAGAGGGAGGUAGAAUUCCACGUGUAGCAGUGAAAUGCGUAGAGAUGUGGAGGAAUACCGAUGGCGAAGGCAGCCUCCUGGGCCAACACUGACGCUCAUGCACGAAAGCGUGGGGAGCAAACAGG
rnacentral:rRNA from 1 species